GCUUAGGCCGCGCUCCCGGACCGCCCCGAGGAUGGGCGCCCGCGCCCCUGCAGCCGCCGGUGCGCCCGCGCGCGGCUGGCCGGACACUCCCCGCUCUGAGCGGCCCGGCCUCGGGAUCUUUUUCUUUUUCUUUCUUUUUUUUUUUUUUCCGAUUCCGUUAGUGACCCCGUUACCCGCCGCUGGGGCCUAACCCGGACUCGGAGGGCUCGCGGAUUAGCCGCCCGCCAGCCGUGGAAACGUGAUAAGAGGCGUGCGGUUUGCAGAAGGAAAUUUCUGAUGCAACUCUCCUCCUUCGCUGAUUGCCUCUGCGAACGCCGCCCGGAGAAGGCCCUGCAGCACGGGCCGUAUGGAAAUGAGGAAGGAAGCAUUGAUCUCCACAAAGUCAUGCGUUUGAUCUGCUAGAUGUUUAUUGUGAUGAAAACAGUGUUUUAAUAAAAGUUGUGUAUCCCUGAA